GAUGAACGCUGGCGGCGUGCUUAACACAUGCAAGUCGAACGAAGCUGCUUAAAGGAAGUCUUCGGACGGAAUUUAGGUAGACUUAGUGGCGGACGGGUGAGUAACGCGUGGAUAACCUGCCUUAUACAGGGGGAUAACGGAGAGAAAUUUCCGCUAAGACCGCAUAAGACCACAGCACCGCAUGGUGCAGGGGUAAAAUAUUUAUAGGUAUAAGAUGAAUCCGCGUCCGAUUAGCUAGUUGGUGAGGUAAAGGCCCACCAAGGCGACGAUCGGUAGCCGGCCUGAGAGGGUGAACGGCCACAUUGGGACUGAGACACGGCCCAAACUCCUACGGGAGGCAGCAGUGGGGAAUAUUGGACAAUGGGGGAAACCCUGAUCCAGCGACGCCGCGUGAGUGAAGAAGUAUUUCGGUAUGUAAAGCUCUAUCAGCAGGGAAGAAAAUGACGGUACCUGACUAAGAAGCCCCGGCUAACUACGUGCCAGCAGCCGCGGUAAUACGUAGGGGGCAAGCGUUAUCCGGAUUUACUGGGUGUAAAGGGAGCGCAGACGGCAAUGCAAGUCUGAAGUGAAAGGCGUGGGCUCAACCCAUGAACUGCUUUGGAAACUGUAUAGCUUGAGUGUCGGAGGGGUAAGCGGAAUUCCUAGUGUAGCGGUGAAAUGCGUAGAUAUUAGGAGGAACACCGGAGGCGAAGGCGGCUUACUGGACGACAACUGACGUUGAGGCUCGAAGGCGUGGGGAGCAAACAGG
rnacentral:rRNA from 1 species